rnacentral:lncRNA from 1 species
UACUUAUUUUAAAAAAAAAAUUUCCAACAAAAUAAAGUGUCUAUGCCAACGAUCAAAAUUUGCUUUUGAUUUCGUGUUGCUGAUUGGUGCUGCAUUUUAUUUUGAUUUUGUUGAAUUGUGGAUUGGUUGCGUAAUUAGGUCUUUGCUUCUGUUGAAAAAAUCUGUUCAUUUGAAUUGUAUGACUUUCUUUUGCUGGAAGUUCUAUAUUUAUUGCUCUGUGUGUUUGGUCCAUUACUAGAAAUUGGGUUGUGCUUUGGUUAUUUUCUUUGUGUUCUGGAAAAUGGUCACAUGAAACCUAGUGGUGGUUUUGUUUCUGUAGAAAAUUGGGCUAUGUGAAAAUUGUGUAUUGUUGUUUGGCUGUUAAUGGAAGGAUGCUGGUUGACUGGUGAGAGGAUAGCCGUUGUAGGAAUGCGAUACUGGCAAUGGUGGUGUGUAAGAGACUGGUGGUCAUAGGCUAAGAAUCGGUUGCAUAUUGCAACGAGUAUUGAAGUUGCUAUUUUUCUCCUAGUUUUCUAAGACUAAAUUUCGUAACAAUCAAAUGGAUUCUUAGACUGUUAU